CAGGAAUGUCCCCAACUUUUUCAACACUUCAUAACAGUGAACAAUUUAUCAUGAUCAGAGCAUGCAUUGGAAAGAUGGUGACUAAUCUAUCUGUUGCUUGGCAAGCUUAAUGUAUCUGUGUUUGCAAAAAGUAGAUUAUCAAGAGAAGACAUCUUUCAAAUCAAAAAUGUAAUUUUUAACUAAACAAGUGAAAUCGUAGUGAAGUCACCUCCACAGGACCGGAUGAGCAGCAAAUGAAGAGCAUGAGAAU